UGCCCAGGCUGGAGUGCAGUGGCAUGAUCUUGGCUCACUGCAACCUCCCUCUCCCGGAUUCAAGCAACAUGCCCUUCCCAGAAGAGAAAGCUGUUGAACUGCUGGCCUGUCUCCCCCAGGUGGCCAGGAUUUACCGUCACCAUUGGCUGCCCUUGCCCAGGCUGCUGCAGCCCUUCCUUCAGAAGGACGGUGCCUGAGGUCCCGCCGCCCCUGCCAACAGGAAAUGCCUCUGAGCAGUCACAUCACUGCCCACCGUCCAGGACGACAAGUGCUCCGUUCUGGAAGCUAGGAAGUCCGAGAUCAAGGUGCCUGCAGAUUUGGUGGAAGCGCCUGCUUUCUGGUUCCUGCUGUGUGUCCACCCUCAUAACCUAAUCACCAUUAAAAGGCUCCACCUCCUAAUACA